rnacentral:rRNA from 1 species
CCUACGGGAGGCAGCAGUGGGGAAUCUUGCGCAAUGGGCGAAAGCCUGACGCAGCAACGCCGCGUGCGGGAAGAAGGCUUUCGGGCUGUAAACCGCUUUCAGCAGGAACGAAAAUGACGGUACCUGCAGAAGAAGGAGCGGCCAACUAUGUGCCAGCAGCCGCGGUGAUACAUAGGCUUCAAGCGUUGUCCGGAUUUAUUGGGCGUAAAGAGUUCGUAGGCGGUCGAGUAAGUCGGGUGUGAAAAUUCUGGGCUCAACCCAGAGACGCCACCCGAUACUGCUUAACUUGAGUUCGAUAGGGGAGUGGGGAAUUCCUAGUGUAGCGGUGAAAUGCGCAGAUAUUAGGAGGAACACCGGUGGCGAAGGCGCCACUCUGGAUCGAUACUGACGCUGAGGAACGAAAGCAUGGGUAGCAAACAGGAUUAGAUACCCUGGUAGUCCAUGCCGUAAACGGUGGGCACUAGGUGUGGGGUUACUAUUAACGAAUUCCGCGCCGUCGCUAACGCAUUAAGUGCCCCGCCUGGGGAGUACGGUCGCAAGCUAAAACUCAAAUGAAUUGACGG